rnacentral:rRNA from 1 species
GCCCGNCGCGCCCCGCGCCCGUCCCGCCGCCCCCGCCCGACGGGGUGCAGCAGGCGCGAAAACUUGGCAAUGCGAGAAAUCGUGACCAGGGAACUCCAAGUGCGUAGGGUAAGACCUACGCUUUUCUUGACUCUUCAAAGGUCUUGGAAUAAGGGGUGGGUAAGGACGGUGCCAGCCGCCGCGGUAAUACCGGCGCCUCAAGUGGUAGUCGCUUUUAUUGGGCCUAAAACGUCCGUAGCCGGUCUGGUGCAUUCGUGGGUAAAUCAACCCGCUCAACGGGUUGAAUUCUGCGAGCACGGCCAGACUUGGGACCGGGAGAGGUGUGGGGUACUCUCAGGGUAGGGGUAAAAUCCUGUCAUCCUGAGAGGACCACCUGUUGCGAAGGCGCCACACUAGAACGGAUCCGACGGUCAGGGACGAAACCUAGGGGCACGAACCGGAUUAGAUACCCGGGUAGUCCUAGGUGUAAACGCUGUGGACUUGAUGUUGGGGGCGCUCCGAGCGCUCUCAGUGUCGAAGCGAAGGUGAUAAGUCCACUNCCNGNU